rnacentral:rRNA from 1 species
UGGGGAAUCUUGGACAAUGGGGGCAACCCUGAUCCAGCCAUGCCGCGUGAGUGAUGAAGGCCUUAGGGUCGUAAAGCUCUUUCGCCUGUGAAGAUAAUGACGGUAGCAGGUAAAGAAACCCCGGCUAACUCCGUGCCAGCAGCCGCGGUAAUACGGAGGGGGUUAGCGUUGUUCGGAAUUACUGGGCGUAAAGCGCACGUAGGCGGACCAGAAAGUUGGGGGUGAAAUCCCGGGGGCUCAACCCCGGAACUGCCUCCAAAACUAUUGGUCUAGAGUUCGAGAGAGGUGAGUGGAAUUCCAAGUGUAGAGGUGAAAUUCGUAGAUAUUUGGAGGAACACCAGUGGCGAAGGCGGCUCACUGGCUCGAUACUGACGCUGAGGUGCGAAAAGUGUGGGGAGCAAAACAGGAUUAGAUACCCCUGGUAGUCCACACCGUAAAACGAUGAAUGCCAGUCGUCGGGUAGCAUGCUAUUCGGUGACACACCUAACGGAUUAAGC